AACGAACGCUGGCGGCAGGCCUAACACAUGCAAGUCGAGCGAGGACUUCGGUUCUAGCGGCGGACGGGUGAGUAACGCGUGGGAAUGUGCCCUUCUCUACGGAAUAGCCCUGGGAAACUGGGAGUAAUACCGUAUACGCCCUAUUGGGGAAAGAUUUAUCGGAGAAGGAUCAGCCCGCGUUGGAUUAGGUAGUUGGUGGGGUAAUGGCCUACCAAGCCGACGAUCCAUAGCUGGUUUGAGAGGAUGAUCAGCCACACUGGGACUGAGACACGGCCCAGACUCCUACGGGAGGCAGCAGUGGGGAAUCUUAGACAGUGGCGGCAACCCUGAUCUAGCCAUGCCGCGUGAGUGAUGAAGGCCUUAGGGUUGUAAAGCUCUUUCAGCUGGGAAGAUAAUGACGGUACCAGCAGAAGAAGCCCCGGCUAACUCCGUG
rnacentral:rRNA from 1 species